UUCCUUCCAGUCGGCAAGGAUGUACCUCACCGGCUGGAAGGGGUUCCUUCCAUUUGGCAAGGAUGUACCUUGCCGGGGUUCCUUCCAUUUGGCAAGGAUGUACCUCACCGGCUGGAAGGGGUUCCUUCCAGUCGGCAAGGAUGUACCUCGUCAGCUGGAAGGGG
rnacentral:miRNA from 1 species